rnacentral:misc_RNA from 1 species
CUCUUACAAUGUGACACCAAUUAUUACCUACCUCAUUAAGCCUCCAUUGAAGAAUAAAAAAAAAACCACAUUCAUUUUCCCCCCUAUUCUACCAACUUCAUUCUACUUCUAUAUUUAAAGAUUAUAAUAAAAAGUAACAGAAGGUAGCUUAGUGAGGAUGAAAGAUUCGUGCACAGUACAGGGAUCCAAAGAAAAAUUACACAUCCGAGUUGUGGGAUCUCUUUCACUGUUUUCCUCAAAGUGAGACCUUAUAGAGUUUAAAAAGAUAGUUAUUAUUAAACAUACUGGAAAUAAACAUACAAAGGAAAAUUGGUUACCUCUUUCUUUCCAUUAGACUCCUUACAAGUUGCAAAACACGAACAAACUCGCAAAACAAUGAGAAGUCAAAACCCGAUGCUUCAUCACCCUGUGUGCCCAUUUUAGGACUUCUUGAAGAGUGAGUGCAUGGGCUCUGACAGAUGAUGAAGUCAAAACCACCAUACUUCUCAAUCAGUUUAUCAAUCUUGUUGCUGUUUAGCUUUUGGAUGUCUUCUAUCUGCUCUAGCUCUCCAGUUUGGCCGCUAAUUUGCCACCACUUUCUUAGAAUUCUCCGCUUUGUUUCACUAAUUUCCACCGAGACAACGCCCUUCAUAUGGAUUCCAAGCCGGUUUAAGGCAACUUCUGCACCACCUAUUCCACUAAAAAUUGACAACAUUGUUACUCCAUCUGGGAACAUAGAUUUCAAUACAGAGAGAUGAUGCCCCAAAGUGUCUAUCUGGAAGCUGUAUUUAAGUGAAUGAAGCCUUUCAGUUAAGUUACUCUCCGUAGCUUGAGUGUGAUUCAAUGGGUAACCUAGAAUUAUUUCCAAAUAUUCUGGCUCUAUACGGCCAAGUUUGUUCGGACCUACCCAUAUAAGAUUUAAUUUGUGGCAAUGAAGAAGAAUGUCUCUCUUAUUCCGUUCAGAUGGAAGCAAACCUCCAGAAUCAGUAAGCAUCCUUCCAAGCCUCUCACAGAGCUGAGAUACUCCACUAGUUUCAGAAUUGAUGCAGGUCAAUUGCUUCCUCGUAUCCCAUGAUGGCCACCAUUUCUUCCUAUGUGGCAUUGCAUCUUCUAUGGACAUUGGUGGCUUUGGAAGGAUACAAAACCUACUUUCAGCAGGAAGAUUGUGCACGUAACCUUCUUUCCUUCUCAAUGCGGAGAAGAACUGAGUAUUAACAAAUUCAGGCUCCACAGCAUAUAAAAACUGAGAUAUUUUGCCCCAGGUGUCAAAAGAUACAGUUGCAACAUUUCCAUAGAAAAAAUAUGGAGGUUUAGCUACCAUUCGAUCAACACUCUUGCUUGAAUUUGAUUUUGGUGCUUUGGGAAUUUUGAAUCCAGUAACUUCAUCAUCAACUUUCUCUUCCACCCAUGUAGGUUCAAAAUAGGAACUUAAGUCAUCAGUAUAUUCUGGUUUAGGAUAAUUGUCCACAAAGCCAAUGUUGCCAAACUGAGUGUCAGGAUAGUCCUCAAUGUACUCUUGUUUUGGCCUUUUUCCCCUAUGAACUUCCUCAAUAUUUAGAUUGUUUGACCGAGAGACAGCAUCUUGGCCAAAAUCCUCGGUUUUCAGUUUAUUACCUUCCAUACCCACAUUAAAGGUUUCCCAAUCACUUGCAGUGCGUGAACGAUUCAUUCCAUAACGUUUUGAGGAAUACUUAUCUUCUAUAAUGUACUUCUCUCCAACUUGCUCUGCACAAAUUGAGUUAGCUAGCUCUAAUACUGGAACUUCUGAACCUGGAACACAUGAAAAGAUUGAUAAAUCUUUGCAAAACACUAACAUGGGAGGCAAUUCUGGUAACAACAACAAUUUGUUAUAUAUCUCAUCAGCAUCACCAACAAUCAAGUCUUUUUAAGGAUGGAAUCAACAAAAAAAAUAUCACUGUAAUUUCAAGAGGGGAGGUAGAUCAGAAUAAGAACAUAAACAGGGCUUCCGGCAGGGUGACUUUAUUAGACCGGACAUUGAAAGUUAAAAGAGUUAUAGGAUUGGAACACUCAUCACUUUCCAAAAUGAAACAGAACAAUAUAAAUGAAAAAAGGAAUUGCAAAUUAAUAACUUUUAACAUUUUGCCUUUACAGGUGGAGCAGAAUUGGUAAUUGAACAAAGUUAUGACAAACAAUAACCACUCACCAAACCUAUCAAUUGCUAAUGAAAUUUCGUUCUCAGAGAAACCCAUUUCAAGCAAAUGAAGUGUCUUCUCCAUAGUCCCAAAUAAAGUUUCGUUACUAAUAUCCUCAUUUACUUCUGCAGUAUCAUCAAGCUUGUCAUCUAUUUCCUCACUAAAAUCUGCAGCUAUCUGGGCAGCAAUAAUGAAGUCUACCAUUUCAUCAACUGAAGCAUCUACACCAAGCUUUUCCAUUGCAAAAUCAACUUCCUUUGCUGAGAAAUUCAUCUUUAGUAAGGUUGCCCUUUUGUCAUCAUCAACUCCAUAAAUAUCUGGCUCCUGCAGAAGAUUGAUUUAACCAAACCAAAUGCGAUAUAACUCUCCUAGGCUAUAAUUGGCAAUCAGCAUGAGAUAGUCACCCCGCUGACAUGGCAAUCAAAAUAAUGUCAACCAUAAAUUAGGUAGCAAUGAAAACCAGACUUCUUGCGAGCAACAAAGCAUGAAUAAAUUCAAAUGCAUGAAUUUUAAACAGCUAUGCAACUGAUCAUCCUAAAAAAGAGAGAUUAGGGUAAGAUGAUAUCUCAUUUUCAGAGUUCUGUUUUAUAAGCCAUGAUUCCUGGCAUGUGCAAACACAUCCACUUGCCAAAAAUUCUAUGCUUCAUACAAUGAACAAUCAGAAAAAUUCUGUGCUUGAUACAAUGACCAAUCAGAAAAAUAUUUGCAAACAAAAAAAAAUGCAUCAGCUGAAAAUAAAGAUAUCACGAAGGUUAAAAAGCUUUUACAGGUGCAGAGAACAUGGAUGGAGAAGGUACUCACAAACUUGAUCAGUAAUGAUUAAGCAGAUUGAAAGAGCCUUCAUAACAUACGGAAACAUGCUGAGCAUUGGCCUUAAAUAUUUAUCAUAUAUAUUCAAGUUAAGUAUGACAGGAGUUGACAUGGAUAUAUCACAGCUUAUUACCUCUUUUGGUUGAACAAAUGUAGAACAUUCUGAAGGAUUGGUUGCAUCCUCGUCAUCAAACAAGCAAUCCAGAGAAUCUGAUGACUGAGAGUUUGACUUUUGAGGACCAGAACAUUCCAUGAGAAUCUCUAAUAACAAGUCAACAUUGUCUUCACCAUUUUCUUCAAUUACUUUGUCAACAAGCGCAGGUGAGAAUCCCAUCCCAGUAAAAAAUGAUCUUAAAUUGCUUCCAGAUGAACUUGCAACAUUGUCCCCGAGUUGCCUUGAGUACAUGGCAUCAGUCUGCAACUCAAAAUCCAACAUCUCAGGCUUUGGCACUAUGGUUUCAUUG